GAGGAAUAUUGGUCAAUGGACGCAAGUCUGAACCAGCCAUGCCGCGUGCAGGAUGACGGCUCUAUGAGUUGUAAACUGCUUUUGUACGAGGGUAAACCCCGAUACGUGUAUCGGGUUGAAAGUAUCGUACGAAUAAGGAUCGGCUAACUCC
rnacentral:rRNA from 1 species